AUUUGCUAUAAAGAAAGUUGUAUUUAUUUUAUAAUUAACACAUUAUUAUCAAAUAAAAAAUUAAAAGAAACAUACCUCAUGGUGAUAUGGUAAUAUAUAUUGGUGUAGAAAUAUUUUUUGAUAAAUAUUAAGUUAAUUGAUUCACUUAUUUGACCUGAUAGUGGCACAGUGGAUUUAUUUACACUGAGGAAGUCAUAGAAAUACAUAUUUUGACAGAAAUGAAGGGAAGUAUUUCAAGAUCGUGAAAAUGGAGAGAUAUUCUGAUGGCUGCCAUAAAUCUUAGAGAGUAUUAAAUGCCAGAGAAAGAAGAAGAUGAAGUUUAUUCUGUGUAAAGAAUUAUGUACUCGCCAUACUGAUAAUGUUAGUUAUCCAAAAAUAAAAAUUUUCCAAUCAGACACUGGUUCUUCAAUACUUCUAUAAAGUCAUUAGUUGUAUAUGGUUGAUACAUAUUACCUAAUUUAACUAAAAAAUCUGAAUUUAGAAAUUCAUUUGAUUUGGGAUCACUUGCAUGAAUAUAAUUCAAUACUUCAUCGUUCACAUUAUCUUAAAAAUGGAAAAAUGGUCUUCAUGGACACACGUACUACUACCAGAACGAGGACAACUUUCUGUACAUCCUAUUACUGUUUGGUAUAUAAGUUAGAAGACAUAAGGACUUCUUCACUUGUAUUCCGACUCACAUAUUGUGCAAGUCAUUGGCAAGUCCUUAGUCUUCAUUUACUCUCUAUGUUAAAAUAUAUGUAUGUACUGUAAUUGUGUAAAUUAAAUAACUUUAAUUAUA